GACAGAGGUCCCGAGCGUUAGGCGGAAUCACUGGGCUUAAAGCGUGUGUAGGCGGAGUGCUAAGUACCUUGUGAAAUCCCACGGCUCAACCGUGGAACUGCUUGGUAUACUGGUUCUCUUGAGCCACCUAGGGGCAACUGGAAUUCUUGGUGUAGCGGUGAAAUGCGUAGAUAUCAAGAGGAACACCUGCGGCGAAGGCGGGUAGCUGGGCCGACACUGACGCUGAGACGCGAAAGCGUGGGGAGCGAACAGG
rnacentral:rRNA from 1 species